ensembl:lncRNA
CUGGGGAGCCGCUGAGCUAACGGGUCCGGACGCCGACGGAGGCGGCGGCUUUCUCUGCACCGGCGGCGGCGGCGGCGGGAGCGGCGAGCAUGGCCCGCGCGGCGCCCGGAGCUGACUGAGCAUAUGGGAUCUCAGCUCCCCAACCAGGGAUCCGCACACCGCCUGCAAUGGAAGGCAAAGUCGUAGCUACUGGACUCCAGGGAGGCCCAUGAGCUUAAACUUCUAAAUCAGCUUCACAGGACAAGCAGCGGGACUCACCAGUUUUAUAAUUCAUUGAUUCCAAAUAUCCAGUCUUUGGGUGAGAAACUUCAUUUCCACCCGAACCAGAGGAAGACUACAGUUGCUCAGAAUGUCUUCUCACAUGGGACAUCACAAAAUAAAUUAGCCCAGGACAAAUGGGGGAACUUUCUUAUCUCUCAUUUGUGUUCCCAUGCCAUAUUUUCUGUGAGAAAGAUGUUCUUAAAUUUUUCUUCAAAAAAAAAAAUACUAUUCAUGUCUGUGUUUUUUAAGUAAUGCCAGAUUCGCCUUCCAAGCAUUGUACCAAUUCAUUUUCUCACCAGUGGUGACUGAGUGUUCUUGACAGUCUGCAUCCUCUCUCAACUCUUGGUACUGUUGGUUUUUAAAACUUUGCUCCAAGGGCCCGUUUUAAAAUAUAAAUCAGGUCAUGACACAUCCCUCCCUUAAAGCUGCCCAUUAGAUUAAUAAUAAAUCCUAAUCCUUUCAAAGCCCAUUGUAACUGGGCCCCUCGUACUUUCCUCUCCAACACUCUCC